CUUCCCAACGCAGGGAGGGAGGGAGGAUGGAUGGGACUCUAGGGUUCCAGAGGCUAUGUUUUCAAUCACCCCUGGAAAACCUGUCUCUAUGAGGGAGAAUAAAGCCAAGUAGAGUCUGGAAGCUUCUUGGGAGCAAGGCUCAAGUCUUUUGUACUUUGCGUUUGGAUCCCAGCUCUGCCACUUAGAAGCUAUUUGACCUUGGCAAAGGUCACUAAAGCUUGGUAACAAUGGAUGAAUAAUAUUACCUGCCUGAAGAUUAAAUGAGAAACUUUACCUGAAGGCCUCAGCAAAGUGCCUGGCAUGAAGUAUAUGAUUAAUAAACAUGAACUAGUAUUAUUAUUAUUUUUGUUGUCACCAUUUUCUGGUGCUGUCAGAAUAUCUCAUAUUCUACCUGCAGGAAUCUUUUUUUGUUUGUUUGAAGCCAUUGAACCAGGAGAAAAAAAUUACUUUUUCCCACUUUGGAGACACCUUGUGGACAAUCCAUCAAGAAUUCCAUAACAUACAGUUAACAAACAUUUUGAAGGCCAACAAAUUGUUGGGCCUUGAGCCAGGCUUUGGAGAUGAAAAUAAAGGUUGGAGUUUUCUUUUUAUUAUUCAUCAGACCGAAGGGCGUGGUCUGGGAA